rnacentral:rRNA from 1 species
UACGGGGGGAGCAAGCGUUGUUCGGAUUUAUUGGGCGUAAAGGGCGCGUAGGCGGCCACGCACGUCCGUUGUGAAAUCGCCCGGCUCAACUGGGCGGGGUCAGCGGAUACGGUGUGGCUAGAGCAAGCUAGGGGGCAAUGGAAUUCCCGGUGUAGUGGUGGAAUGCGUAGAUAUCGGGAGGAACACCAGUGGCGAAGGCGACUACCUGGCCUGUUCUUGACGCUGAGGCGCGAAAGCUAGGGGAGCAAACGGGG